rnacentral:rRNA from 1 species
UUGGAGGGCAAGUCUGGUGCCAGCAGCCGCGGUAAUUCCAGCUCCAAUAGCGUAUAUUAAAGUUGUUGCAGUUAAAAAGCUCGUAGUCGAAUUUCGGGAUCAGUAGGUUGGUCAUGCCUAUGGUAUGUACUGGCUUUACUGGUUCCUCCUUCUUGAUGAUCUGUAAUGUCAUUAAUUUGGUGUUGCAGGGAGUCAGGACUGUUACUUUGAAAAAAUUAGAGUGUUUAAAGCAGGCAUACGCUUGAAUACAUUAGCAUGGAAUAAUGAAAUAGGACGUUCGAUCCUAUUUUGUUGGUUUCUAGGAUUGACGUAAUGAUUAAUAGGGAUAGUUGGGGGCAUUAGUAUUCAAUUGUCAGAGGUGAAAUUCUUGGAUUUAUUGAAGACUAACUACUGCGAAAGCAUUUGCCAAGGAUGUUUUCAUUAAUCAAGAACGAAAGUUAGGGGAUCGAAGACGAUCAGAUACCGUCGUAGUCUUAACCAUAAACUAUGCCGACUAGGGAUCGGAUGAUGUUAUUUUUAAUGACUCAUUCGGCGCCUUACGGGAAAC